rnacentral:rRNA from 1 species
AUUGAACGCUGGCGGCAGGCCUAACACAUGCAAGUCGAGCGAGAGGCGGAGGCGUGAGAAAUGUAUGGGGGCUGCCCGAGAGAGGGGGAUAAAAACUGGAAAAGGGGGCUAAUACAGCGUACUAUCGGAUAACCCAUAUGGGGUUAGCUCGUGGGUGAGGUAAUGGCUCACCUAGGCGACGAUCCCUAGCUGGUCUGAGAGGAUGAGCAGCCACACUGGAACUGAGACACGGCCCAGACUCCUACGGAGGCAGCAGUGGGGAAUAUUGCACAAUGGGCGCAAGCCUGAUACAGCCAUGCCGCGUGUAUGAAGAAGGCCUUAGGGUUGUAAAGUACUUUCAGUCGGGAGGCGUUACCGGCAGAAGAAGCACCGGCUAACUCCGUGCCAGCAGCCGCGGUAAUAC